GGAUGCGACCAUACCAGCACUAAAGCACCGCAUCCCAUCAGAACUCUGGAGUUAAGCGUGCUUGGGCGAGAGUAGUACUAGGAUGGGUGACCUCCUGGGAUGUCCUCGUGUUGCUUUCC
rnacentral:rRNA from 1 species